rnacentral:rRNA from 1 species
AGCUCCAAUAGCGUAUAUUAAAGUUGUUGCAGUUAAAAAGCUCGUAGUUGGAUUUCUGGUUUGAUGCGCCUGGCCCGCCACGGUUUACGUGUGUGAGUGCCGGCGCGCGUCUGCCAUCCUUCUAGAGAACGUUCCUACGGUUCAUUCCGGUGGGUUCGCAAUCUAGAUCUUUUACUUUGAAAAAAUUAGAGUGUUUAAAGCAGGCUUUUGCUAUGAAUACAUUAGCAUGGAAUAAUAAUUUAGGACUUUGGUUCUAUUUUGUUGGUUUCCGGGACUGAAGUAAUGAUUGAUAGGGAUUGUUGGGGGUGCUAGUAUUCAGCGGCCAGAGGUGAAAUUCUCGGAUUCGCUGAAGACUAACUUAUGCGAAAGCAUUCACCAAGGAAGUCUUCUUUA